AACCCAUGAUGAAGACAUUACAAGAGUAAGCCUUUAAAUUUCUCCCAUGCCUUAAAGAAUUGUUCAUCCUCUUUUUGCAUAAACGCUGAAAUCUCCAUGUGAUC
rnacentral:snoRNA from 1 species